GCCCGGGUGCUUCGUUGGUAGAGCAUUAGGUAGCAGUACCUUCGGGUCUUAGGGUUCGAAUCCCUGCCCGGGUG